rnacentral:lncRNA from 1 species
UGUAGUUCAUUUAAUUAAUAGAAGGCAGCCCAAUUUUUUUUUUAAUAAAUAAAGGCCCAACUAUUAAUUAAAACUGAGUCCAUGUUGAAUAAAUAAAAUUAGCCCAGAUUUAAAUUAAAAAAAAUCGGCCCAUAACUUAUUUAAAUAAACUGAGCCCAAGACUCAAGCCCAACACUUUAGUCCUAAAGGAAAAGACUCGGCCCAGAUGAUUUAAUUCGGCCCAAAAUAGGAGCCCAAAACCCCAAGCCCAACUCUCAACCUUUUCUCCCCCUAUUCUCUCUCUCGUCGCAGACUCACACGCACACACACGCACCCAGCGCCGCCCAACCUCUCUUCCUCUCAAGGCUCACGACACUCACAACGCAGCAGCGCGGCAUCGCCCUCAACUCCGGCGACAUCACCGUCUAGCCGCCCUCUCGUCCCUCAACGCCUUCCUCUCUCUCUCACAAAGCUCCGCCGCUGCGGAAGCUCGCCGGGGAGCAGCGGCGAUAAGCCGCCGUCACCCACUGCUCUCCCCUCUCCGUCCGUUUCCGGCGACAGCAACGACAAAAGCCGCCGCCGACCGGUGACUCCGACUCCCAUCUCUCUCCCUUGACUGCUCCUGUCACUUCCCCCUGUUCUCUCUCUCCCUCGACUGCUCCCUCAUCACUCAAAGUUCAGAUCGGCAUCGACCCUUCCCCUCUUCUUCAGCCGCCGCCCGUUAUCGCCGCCGGACUCACGGCGAGGAACCUCGCACCGCCUCGCACAGGUAAACCCCCAAAUCUCCCUUCUCUUCCUCUCAAAAUACAGAAUCUGAAAAUCUAAUUCCUCCUCCUCUCUCUUUCUUUCGUUGGCAGGAAGAGGAAAAAAAGGCGGCGCCUUUGCCGCCGUGCCGUCGCCGGCGUCAAACAGCUAUCGGCUGAACCUCACCUCCCUCUCGACUCAACAGUACAACAGGGCUCAAGACUCCAUUUUUCUUCUUUUAUAAAUCAUGCUCUGAUGUAUGAAUAUAUAUAUAUAUAUACAGAUUGUAUGCUCAUGUAUGUGACUGUCAUUUUGUUUCAAAAACUGAUACAAGAAAACUGAAUUUCCAUUUAGCAAAUAAGGUAAGGGCUCAAGAGGGAACCUUAAGAGGUUUCGUUUCAGUUGUUUGUCUUGUUGGUAUUGGUUUUGAUUCACUGCAUUAAAACUGGGCUUCAGUGGAACAACUGCAGUAAAAUUUCAGUAGGGGAUCCUUCAAUUAUUUGCAAGAUGGAGUAUGAGAGAAUGAUGAAACCAAAGUUCAAAACUUACCUAGGCAGUCGAGUUCUGUUUGAGAGGGAGUGAGCUUGAGAUUUUCUUGUUGAGAGAUGAAAUAUGUGGAAAUGAUUGUGUAGAAGCGGAAGGGAAUGAGUGAAGUAUAUCAGUGGGUGUGGGAGUAGGUAUGGUUUUUGCAGGGAGUUGGUGGUGGGAGUAGGUGGGUUGGUGGUGGGAGUAGGUGGGAGUAAUAAAAUAAAAA